UGGGGAAUAUUGCACAAUGGGCGCAAGCCUGAUGCAGCCAUGCCGCGUGUGUGAAGAAGGCCUUCGGUUGUAAAGCACUUUCAGCGAGGAGGAAGGUGGUGAGCUUAAUACGCUCAUCAAUUGACGUUACUCGCAGAAGAAGCACCGGCUAACUCCGUGCCAGCAGCCGCGGUAAUACGGAGGGUGCAAGCGUUAAUCGGAAUUACUGGGCGUAAAGCGCACGCAGGCGGUUUGUUAAGUCAGAUGUGAAAUCCCCCGGGCUCAACCUGGGAACUGCAUUUGAAACUGGCAAGCUAGAGUCUCGUAGAGGGGGGUAGAAUUCCAGGUGUAGCGGUGAAAUGCGUAGAGAUCUGGAGGAAUACCGGUGGCGAAGGCGGCCCCCUGGACGAAGACUGACGCUCAGGUGCGAAAGCGUGGGGCAGCAAACAGGAUUAGAUACCCCUGGUAGUCCACGCUGUAAAACGAUGUCGAUUUUGGAGGUUGUGCCCUUGAGGCGUGGCUUCCGGAGCUAACGCGUUAAAUCGACCGCCUGGGGAGUACGGCCGCAAGG
rnacentral:rRNA from 1 species